rnacentral:tRNA from 1 species
GAUAAAAUGGCUGAGUAUUAGGUAUUAGUUUGUAAAACUAUUAAGGGGAUAUAAUUCUCUUUUAUCA